UACGGGAGGCAGCAGUGGGGAAUAUUGCACAAUGGGCGAAAGCCUGAUGCAGCUAUGCCGCGUGUAUGAAGAAGGCCUUAGGGUUGUAAAGUACUUUCAUCGGGGAGGAAAAACAAAACUAAUAAUUUUAUUUCUUGACGUUACCCGAAAAAGAAGCACCGGCUAACUCCGUGCCAGCAGCCGCGGUAAUACGGAGGGUGCUAGCGUUAAUCAGAAUUACUGGGCGUAAAGAGCACGUAGGUGGUUUUUUUAAGUCAGAUGUGAAAUCCCUGGGCUUAACCUAGGAACUGCAUUUUGAAACUGAAAUACUAGAGUAUCGUAGAGGGAGGUAGAAUUCUAGGUGUAGCGGUGAAAUGCGUAGAUAUCUGGAGGAAUACCUGUGGCGAAAGCGGCCUCCUAAACGAAUACUGACACUGAGGUGCGAAAGCGUGGGGAGCAAACAGGGAUUAGAACC
rnacentral:rRNA from 1 species